rnacentral:sRNA from 1 species
UCAAUUUGAUGCAGAAUGUGCCGCUUGCAAAAUAUGAGACUAACCGACGUUUUAAUACGCGUCGGUUAUUUUUUUGC